GAUGAACGCUGGCGGCGUGCCUAAUACAUGCAAGUCGAGCGAACAGACGAGGAGCUUGCUCCUCUGACGUUAGCGGCGGACGGGUGAGUAACACGUGGAUAACCUACCUAUAAGACUGGGAUAACUUCGGGAAACCGGAGCUAAUACCGGAUAAUAUAUUGAACCGCAUGGUUCAAUAGUGAAAGACGGUUUUGCUGUCACUUAUAGAUGGAUCCGCGCCGCAUUAGCUAGUUGGUAAGGUAACGGCUUACCAAGGCGACGAUGCGUAGCCGACCUGAGAGGGUGAUCGGCCACACUGGAACUGAGACACGGUCCAGACUCCUACGGGAGGCAGCAGUAGGGAAUCUUCCGCAAUGGGCGAAAGCCUGACGGAGCAACGCCGCGUGAGUGAUGAAGGUCUUCGGAUCGUAAAACUCUGUUAUUAGGGAAGAACAAAUGUGUAAGUAACUAUGCACGUAUUGACGGUACCUAAUCAGAAAGCCACGGCUAACUACGUG
rnacentral:rRNA from 1 species